rnacentral:rRNA from 1 species
GACGAACCGUGCGAACGUUAUUCGGAAUCACUGGGCUUAAAGAGCGCGUAGGUGGCGAUGUAAGUUGGAGGUGAAAUCCUAUCGGCUCAACCGUAGAAUUGCCUUCAAUACUGCAUCGCUUGAGGGAGGUAGGGGCAUAUGGAACUUCCGGUGGAGCGGUGAAAUGUGUUGAGAUCGGAAGGAACGCCAGUGGCGAAAGCGAUAUGCUGGAACUCUACUGACACUGAGGCGCGAAAGCUAGGGUAGCGAACGGG